rnacentral:rRNA from 1 species
UACGUAGGGUGCAAGCGUUAAUCGGAAUUACUGGGCGUAAAGCGUGCGCAGGCGGUGAUGUAAGACAGAUGUGAAAUCCCCGGGCUCAACCUGGGAACUGCAUUUGUGACUGCAUCGCUGGAGUACGGCAGAGGGGGGUGGAAUUCCGCGUGUAGCAGUGAAAUGCGUAGAGAUGCGGAGGAACACCGAUGGCGAAGGCAGCCCCCCUGGGCUAACACUGACGCUCAGGCACGAAAGCGUGGGGAGCAAACAGG